UGUGUGAGCACGAGUGCUCACCACGACACACUCGCACUCAGCUGGUUUUGAUGCAGGGAUGGGAUCAUGGGACAAGUCUUGGACGGCUGCGAACGCGCUGUAGACUCCGGCGGUCUGCUGCCUCGCUCUGUGGGUGGGAACUCGCUGCCGACUCUUCUGCUUCCCAAUAAAGCAGCACUACACUUGGACAAGUAGGCCCGACCUUGUGGCCCCCGCGACGCAGUGGUCCAACGGCGCCUGCCGGCUGAGCCCAAAACACCAUUUCUGCACCAGAUGUAUUCCUAAGAUUUGAUAUGGCAAACUAAUCCUGGAGGCCCUCGCAUUGUUCUUCAUCUCGGUGCUUGGAGCUGAUUGCAUCUUUGUAAUGGAGGCCUUGAAUAAGUAAACAGUGAAUGCCUGUUCAUAAUGUCAGCCGGCUUUGUCAGGGCGACGCAGACAUUUAAAGAGCUUCUUAUCGUGUUGAUUUAAGCAAUUAAACAUGAAGUUUCUCUCUGCAAGCUC